ensembl:snRNA U6 U6 spliceosomal RNA
GUGCUCGUUUCCACAGCACUAAUGCUAAAAUUGGAAUGACAUAAACAAGAUUAGCACGGCCCCUCCACAAGGAUGACAUGCAAAUCCAUGAGGUAUUCCAGAAGAAU